rnacentral:lncRNA from 1 species
AUGAAAAAGCACAAAUUCUUACCACAUUCCUCUGGCUCAGGCUGUACUGGUUCCAUGAGUUCCUCAUCUGGGAUCCAGAAGCCUGUGACGGCAUUACGAAGAUCUCACUUCCUGUCAAAGAUCUCUGGACUCCUGACAUUAUCGUUUAUGAGUUUAAAGGACGUCCGUGUCAGUCCUGCCCUGUCCUUUAAGGAGAUGACGGGAAACUCGAAGCGUUACCUGCAGGCCAGUGGCGAGUGGGAGCUGGUGGUUAUCUUGGGCGAUGCUGACAUUUUGAAUUUCGGAAUAGAGGAAUGGGACAUCAUCACUUUCUGGGUAAGAAAGAGACAAAAGUAGGGCAUAUAAUAGGCUAUGUUUAGAAUAGCAUACUACUCUGUU